rnacentral:tRNA from 1 species
UCCCCGAUAGUCUAGUGGUGAGGAUAUCUGCUUGUCAAUGGGGAAUUAUUCCCUGACAACGAUUCGCAGGGGACCGGGGUUCAAUUCCCCGUCGAGGAG